CCUACGGGUGGCAGCAGUGAGGAAUCUUGGUCAAUGGGCGCGAGCCUGAACCAGCCAAGUAGCGUGAAGGAUGACUGCCCUACGGGUUGUAAACUUUUUUUAUAAAGAAAUAAAGUGAGGCACGUGUGCCUUUUUGUAUGUACUUUAUGAAUAAGGAUCGGCUAACUCCGUUCCAGCAGCCUCGGUAAUACGGAGGAUCCGAGCGUUAUCCGGAUUUAUUGGGUUUAAAGGGAGCGUAGGUGGGUUGUUAAGUCAGUUGUGAAAGUUUGCGGCUCAACCGUAAAAGUCCAAUUGAUACUGGCAGCCUUGAGUACAGUUGAGGUAGGCGGAAUUCGUGGUGUAGCGGUGAAAUGCUUAGAUAUCACGAAGAACUCCGAUGGCGAAGGCAGCUUACUAAACUGUCACUGACAUUGAUGCUCGAAAGUGUGGGUAUCAAACAGGAUUAGAUACCCCUGUAGUC
rnacentral:rRNA from 1 species